rnacentral:rRNA from 4 species
AGUCAUAUGCUUGUCUCAAAGAUUAAGCCAUGCAUGUCUCAGUACAAGCCGAAUUAAGGUGAAACCGCGAAAGGCUCAUUAAAUCAGUUAUGGUUCCUUAGAUCGUACCCACAUUUACUUGGAUAACUGUGGUAAUUCUAGAGCUAAUACAUGCAAACAGAGCUCCGACCGGAGACGGGAGGAGUGCUUUUAUUAGAUCAAAACCAAUCGGCGGCGGGCGCGUCCGCGCGUCCGUUCGCCGCUCAACCUGGUGACUCUGAAUAACUUUCCGCUGAUCGCACGGUCUCGCACCGGCGACGCAUCUUUCAAAUGUCUGCCUUAUCAACUGUCGAUGGUAGGUUCUGCGCCUACCAUGGUCGUAACGGGUAACGGGGAAUCAGGGUUCGAUUCCGGAGAGGGAGCCUGAGAAACGGCUACCACAUCCAAGGAAGGCAGCAGGCGCGCAAAUUACCCACUCCCGGCACGGGGAGGUAGUGACGAAAAAUAACGAUACGGGACUCAUCCGAGGCCCCGUAAUCGGAAUGAGUACACUUUAAAUCCUUUAACGAGGAUCAAUUGGAGGGCAAGUCUGGUGCCAGCAGCCGCGGUAACUCCAGCUCCAAUAGCGUAU